rnacentral:tmRNA from 1 species
ACUCAUUGGACCCGGGGGCGGUACCCGGCGCCUCCACCAAAAUAUAACAAAAAUUAUAUUUUGGUGGGGGCGAAAUAGGAUCGACAAGGGUGUAAAGAUUGCUCUUUUACUCGGCAUAGUACCACCGUCAUCGGACUAAAUGAGUAGUUGCAAAUGACAACUAUGCGGAAGCACGUCUCGCUGCUUAAUGUAGUGUGAAUGUUUCAAACUAAGCCUUAAAUCGUCGCAGAUUUAAGCGGGGUUCGAAGG